UAUCAAUAAGCGGAGGAAAAGAAACCAACAGGGAUUGCCCCAGUAACGGCGAGUGAAGCGGCAACAGCUCAAAUUUGAAAUCUGGCCCCUAGGGCCCGAGUUGUAAUUUGCAGAGGAUGCUUUUGGCGAGGUGCCUUCCGAGUUCCCUGGAACGGGACGCCAUAGAGGGUGAGAGCCCCGUCUGGUUGGAUACCGAGCCUCUGUAAAGCUCCUUCGACGAGUCGAGUAGUUUGGGAAUGCUGCUCUAAAUGGGAGGUAUAUGUCUUCUAAAGCUAAAUACCGGCCAGAGACCGAUAGCGCACAAGUAGAGUGAUCGAAAGAUGAAAAGCACUUUGAAAAGAGGGUUAAAUAGUACGUGAAAUUGUUGAAAGGGAAGCGCUUAUGACCAGACUUGGACCCGGUGAAUCAUCCAGCGUUCUCGCUGGUGCACUUUGCCGGGCUCAGGCCAGCAUCAGUUUGUCUCGGGGGAUAAAGGCUUAGGGAAUGUGGCUCCUCCGGGAGUGUUAUAGCCCUUUGCACAAUACCCUGGGGCGGACUGAGGUUCGCGCAUCUGCAAGGAUGCUGGCGUAAUGGUCAUCAGCGACCCGUCUUGAAACACGGACCAAGGAGUCGUCUUCGUAUGCGAGUGUUCGGGUGUAAAACCCCUACGCGUAAUGAAAGUGAACGCAGGUGAGAGCUUCGGCGCAUCAUCGACCGAUCCUGAUGUUCUCGGAUGGAUUUGAGUAAGAGCAUACGGGGCCGGACCCGAAAGAAGGUGAACUAUGCCUGUAUAGGGUGAAGCCAGAGGAAACUCUGGUGGAGGCUCGCAGCGGUUCUGACGUGCAAAUCGAUCGUCAAAUAUGGGCAUGGGGGCGAAAGACUAAUCGAACCUUCUAGUA
rnacentral:rRNA from 1 species